UCAAGUAAUUAAGUGCAUGUGGUGGAUGCCUUGGCAGUCAGAGGCGAUGAAAGACGUGAUAGCCUGCGAAAAGCUCCGGGGAGGCGGCAAAUAUCCUUUGAUCCGGAGAUGUCUGAAUGGGGGAACCCACCUACUUUAAGGUAGGUAUUGCAACAUGAAUACAUAGUGUUGCAAGGCGAACGAGGGGAAGUGAAACAUCUCAGUACCCUUAGGAAAAGAAAUCAAUUGAGAUUCCCUCAGUAGCGGCGAGCGAACGGGGAUCAGCCCAUUAAGUUAUGUGUGUUUUAGUGGAACGCUCUGGGAAGUGCGAACGUAGAGGGUGAUAUUCCCGUACACGAAAGGGCACACAUAAUGAUGACGAGUAGGGCGAGGCACGUGAAACCUUGUCUGAAUAUGGGGGGACCAUCCUCCAAGGCUAAAUACUCCUGACUGACCGAUAGUGAACCAGUACCGUGAGGGAAAGGCGAAAAGAACCCCUGUGAGGGGAGUGAAAUAGAUCCUGAAACCGCAUGCAUACAAGCAGUGGGAGCACCUUCGUGGUGUGACUGCGUACCUUUUGUAUAAUGGGUCAGCGACUUAUAUUCAGUAGCGAGGUUAACCGUAUAGGGGAGCCGUAGAGAAAUCGAGUCUUAAUAGGGCGUUUAGUUGCUGGGUAUAGACCCGAAACCAGGCGAUCUAUCCAUGAGCAGGUUGAAGGUUGGGUAACACUAACUGGAGGACCGAACCCACUGUCGUUGAAAAGCCAGGGGAUGACUUGUGGAUAGGGGUGAAAGGCUAAUCAAGCCUGGUGAUAGCUGGUUCUCCCCGAAAGCUAUUUAGGUAGCGCCUCGGACGAAUACCAUAGGGGGUAGAGCACUGUUUCGGCUAGGGGGUCAUCCCGACUUACCAAACCGAUGCAAACUCCGAAUACCUAUGAGUACUAUCCGGGAGACAGACUGCGGGUGCUAACGUCCGUAGUCAAGAGGAAAACAAUCCAGACCGCCAGCUAAGGCCCCAAAAUCAUAGUUAAGUGGGAAACGAUGUGGGAAGGCAUAGACAGCUAGGAGGUUGGCUUAGAAGCAGCCACCCUUUAAAGAAAGCGUAAUAGCUCACUAGUCGAGUCGGCCUGCGCGGAAGAUGUAACGGGGCUAAAACUAUGUGCCGAAGCUGCGGAUGUAUACUUUGUAUACGUGGUAGGGGAGCGUUCUGUAAGCCGAUGAAGGUGUGUUGAGAAGCAUGCUGGAGGUAUCAGAAGUGCGAAUGCUGACGUGAGUAACGACAAAACGGGUGAAAAACCCGUUCGCCGAAAGACCAAGGGUUCCAGUCCAACGUUAAUCGGGGCUGGGUGAGUCGACCCCUAAGGCGAGGCCGAAAGGCGUAGUCGAUGGGAAAAUGGUUAAUAUUCCAUUACUUCUGUGUAAUGCGAUGAGAGGACGGAGAAGGCUAAAUCAGCCUGGCGUUGGUUGUCCAGGUGAAAGGAUGUAGGCAUGUAUCUUAGGCAAAUCCGGGGUACUCUAUGCUGAGAUCUGAUAGCAAGCUGUACUUGUACAGCGAAGUGGUUGAUGCCAUGCUUCCAGGAAAAGUCUCUAAGCUUCAGUUACACAGGAAUCGUACCCGAAACCGACACAGGUGGUCAGGUCGAGUAGACCAAGGCGCUUGAGAGAACUCUGCUGAAGGAACUAGGCAAAAUGGUACCGUAACUUCGGGAGAAGGUACGCUGUUGUUGGUGAUGGAACUCGCUUCCUGAGCUGACGACAGCCGCAGAAACCAGGCCGCUGCAACUGUUUAUUAAAAACAUAGCACUCUGCAAACACGAAAGUGGACGUAUAGGGUGUGAUGCCUGCCCGGUGCUGGAAGGUUAAUUGAUGGGGUUAGCGUAAGCGAAGCUCUUGAUCGAAGCCCCAGUAAACGGCGGCCGUAACUAUAACGGUCCUAAGGUAGCGAAAUUCCUUGUCGGGUAAGUUCCGACCUGCACGAAUGGCAUAAUGAUGGCGGCGCUGUCUCCAGCAGAGGCUCAGUGAAAUCGAAAUCGCUGUGAAGAUGCAGUGUACCCGCGGCUAGACGGAAAGACCCCGUGAACCUUUACUGCAGCUUGACACUGAACUUUGACCUUACUUGUGUAGGAUAGGUGGGAGGCUUUGAAGCUGGAACGCUAGUUCCAGUGGAGCCGUCCUUGAAAUACCACCCUGGUAAUGUUGAGGUUCUAACUCUGUCCCGUGAUCCGGGACGAGGACCGUGUCUGGUGGGUAGUUUGACUGGGGCGGUCUCCUCCUAAAGAGUAACGGAGGAGUACGAAGGUGCGCUCAGCGUGGUCGGAAAUCACGCGUAGAGUAUAAAGGCAAAAGCGCGCUUAACUGCGAGACCCACAAGUCGAGCAGGUACGAAAGUAGGUCUUAGUGAUCCGGUGGUUCUGUAUGGAAGGGCCAUCGCUCAACGGAUAAAAGGUACUCUGGGGAUAACAGGCUGAUACCGCCCAAGAGUUCAUAUCGACGGCGGUGUUUGGCACCUCGAUGUCGGCUCAUCUCAUCCUGGGGCUGAAGCAGGUCCCAAGGGUAUGGCUGUUCGCCAUUUAAAGAGGUACGCGAGCUGGGUUUAGAACGUCGUGAGACAGUUCGGUCCCUAUCUACCGUGGGCGCUGGAAAUUUGAGAGGAUCUGCUCCUAGUACGAGAGGACCAGAGUGGACGAACCUCUGGUGUACCGGUUGUGACGCCAGUCGCAUCGCCGGGUAGCUAUGUUCGGAAGGGAUAACCGCUGAAAGCAUCUAAGCGGGAAGCCUACCUCAAGAUAAGAUUUCCCUAGGACUUUAUGUCUUCUAAAGAGCCGUUCGAGACUAGGACGUUGAUAGGUUGGAUGUGGAAGCAUAGUGAUAUGUGAAGCUGACCAAUACUAAUUGCUCGUGAGGCUUGACUAU
rnacentral:rRNA from 2 species